GAUGAACGCUAGCUACAGGCUUAACACAUGCAAGUCGAGGGGCAGCAUGGUCUUAGCUUGCUAAGGCCGAUGGCGACCGGCGCACGGGUGAGUAACACGUAUCCAACCUGCCGUCUACUCUUGGACAGCCUUCUGAAAGGAAGAUUAAUACAAGAUGGCAUCAUGAGUCCGCAUGUUCACAUGAUUAAAGGUAUUCCGGUAGACGAUGGGGAUGCGUUCCAUUAGAUAGUAGGCGGGGUAACGGCCCACCUAGUCUUCGAUGGAUAGGGGUUCUGAGAGGAAGGUCCCCCACAUUGGAACUGAGACACGGUCCAAACUCCUACGGGAGGCAGCAGUGAGGAAUAUUGGUCAAUGGGCGAGAGCCUGAACCAGCCAAGUAGCGUGAAGGAUGACUGCCCUAUGGGUUGUAAACUUCUUUUAUAAAGGAAUAAAGUCGGGUAUGGAUACCCGUUUGCAUGUACUUUAUGAAUAAGGAUCGGCUAACUCCGUGCCAGCAGCCGCGGUAAUACGGAGGAUUCGAGCGUUAUCCGGAUUUAUUGGGUUUAAAGGGAGCGUAGAUGGAUGUUUAAGUCAGUUGUGAAAGUUUGCGGCUCAACCGUAAAAUUGCAGUUGAUACUGGAUAUCUUGAGUGCAGUUGAGGCAGGCGGAAUUCGUGGUGUAGCGGUGAAAUGCUUAGAUAUCACGAAGAACUCCGAUUGCGAAGGCAGCCUGCUAAGCUGCAACUGACAUUGAGGCUCGAAAGUGUGGGUAUCAAACAGGAUUAGAUACCCUGGUAGUCCACACGGUAAACGAUGAAUACUCGCUGUUUGCGAUAUACGGCAAGCGGCCAAGCGAAAGCGUUAAGUAUUCCACCUGGGGAGUACGCCGGCAACGGUGAAACUCAAAGGAAUUGACGGGGGCCCGCACAAGCGGAGGAACAUGUGGUUUAAUUCGAUGAUACGCGAGGAACCUUACCCGGGCUUAAAUUGCAAAUGAAUAAUCUGGAAACAGGUUAGCCGCAAGGCAUUUGUGAAGGUGCUGCAUGGUUGUCGUCAGCUCGUGCCGUGAGGUGUCGGCUUAAGUGCCAUAACGAGCGCAACCCUUGUUGUCAGUUACUAACAGGUUCUGCUGAGGACUCUGACAAGACUGCCAUCGUAAGAUGUGAGGAAGGUGGGGAUGACGUCAAAUCAGCACGGCCCUUACGUCCGGGGCUACACACGUGUUACAAUGGGGGGUACAGAGGGCCGCUACCACGCGAGUGGAUGCCAAUCCCAAAAACCUCUCUCAGUUCGGACUGGAGUCUGCAACCCGACUCCACGAAGCUGGAUUCGCUAGUAAUCGCGCAUCAGCCACGGCGCGGUGAAUACGUUCCCGGGCCU
rnacentral:rRNA from 1 species